rnacentral:rRNA from 1 species
UACGGAGGGUGCAAGCGUUAUCCGGAUUUACUGGGUUUAAAGGGUGCGUAGGUGGGUUGGUAAGUCAGUGGUGAAAUACUUUCGCUUAACGAAGGAACUGCCAUUGAUACUACCAGUCUUGAAUACAGUGGAGGUAGGCGGAAUGCGUCACGUAGCGGUGAAAUGCUUAGAUAUGACGCAGAACACCAAUUGCGAAGGCAGCUUGCUACACUGUUAUUGACACUGAGGCACGAAAGCGUGGGGAUCAAACAGG